rnacentral:rRNA from 1 species
UACAGAGGGUGCAAGCGUUGUUCGGGAUUAUUGGGCGUAAAGCGCGUGUAGGCGGCUUUGCAAGUCGGGUGUGAAAGCCCUCAGCUUAACUGAGGAAGUGCGCCCGAAACUGCAGAGCUUGAGUACCGGAGAGGAUGGCGGAAUUCCCCAAGUAGAGGUGAAAUUCGUAGAUAUGGGGAGGAACACCGGUGGCGAAGGCGGCCAUCUGGACGGAUACUGACGCUGAGACGCGAAAGCGUGGGUAGCAAACAGG